AUGAUAGACAUUCACUACCAUGACAUGAAGAAAAAAAUUAACCGCAAGGAGGACCAUACUCUGUGGGGAUUUUGCCCGCUGCCAGAAAAGAUUAUCAAGUAUGCAACAAUAGAUGCAUUCGCAACAUAUCAGUCAUGGAGAAUCAUCUACGAUAUCAUAAUGGGACUGGACAGGGCAAAAAGAGAAAAAGAAGCAAAGAAGAAGAAGAACAAGGCCGCAGCAAGCCGUGUCGCUGCCUGCUCCAGCUUGUUCCAGGCUCGGCCUCCCAGGGGGAUGGGGAGGGGGGGUCACAACCCCCCCUCCCCACCCCCUGCUCGGCCUCGCGCUAACGCAUGCAACGCAGUGCAGACAUUCUGUUUUUGCAUCAAAGGGGACGCACGCAACCCCCGGAGCCACACCCCUAAGAUAGACAGGGGGCGACGGGGUUUGACGGACUCGCCUACACAUGCCGCGGCGCCGCCUGCUCCGGCUCGUUCCAGGCUCGGCCUCGCAGGGGGAUGGGGAGGGGGGUCACGAUGCCCCCUCCCCACCCCCUUCUCAGCCUCGCGCUAA
rnacentral:rRNA from 1 species